GUAGUUAUAGUUUAAUAAAAACAUUAGAUUGUGAAUUUAAUGAUAGAAGCCCAUAACUUCUUAACUACC
rnacentral:tRNA from 2 species